UACGUAGGGGGCAAGCGUUGUCCGGAUUUAUUGGGCGUAAAGAGCGUGUAGGCGGCUAGGUAGGUCCGUUGUGAAAACUCGAGGCUCAACCUCGAGACGCCGAUGGAAACCAUCUGGCUAGAGUCCGGAAGAGGAGAGUGGAAUUCCUGGUGUAGCGGUGAAAUGCGCAGAUAUCAGGAAGAACACCGGUGGCGAAGGCGGGUCUCUGGGCAGUAACUGACGCUGAGGAGCGAAAGCGUGGGGAGCGAACAGG
rnacentral:rRNA from 1 species